rnacentral:rRNA from 1 species
GAAUGCUGACAUAAGUAACGAUAAAGCGGGUGAAAAGCCCGCUCGCCGGAAGACCAAGGGUUCCUGUCCAACGUUAAUCGGGGCAGGGUGAGUCGACCCCUAAGGCGAGGCCGAAAGGCGUAGUCGAUGGGAAACAGGUUAAUAUUCCUGUACUUGGUGUUACUGCGAAGGGGGGACGGAGAAGGCUAUGUUAGCCGGGCGACGGUUGUCCCGGUUUAAGCAUGUAGGCUGGUUGUCCAGGCAAAUCCGGAUAAUCAAGGCUGAGGUGUGAUGACGAGGCACUACGGUGCUGAAGUAACAAAUGCCCUGCUUCCAGGAAAAGCCUCUAAGCAUCAGGUAACAUCAAAUCGUACCCCAAACCGACACAGGUGGUCAGGUAGAGAAUACCAAGGCGCUUGAGAGAACUCGGGUGAAGGAACUAGGCAAAAUGGUGCCGUAACUUCGGGAGAAGGCACGCUGGUGUGUAGGUGAAGUCCCUGCGGAUGGAGCUGAGACCAGUCGAAGAUACCAGCUGGCUGCAACUGUUUAUUAAAAACACAGCACUGUGCAAACACGAAAGUGGACGUAUACGGUGUGACGCCUGCCCGGUGCCGGAAGGUUAAUUGAUGGGGUUAUCCGUAAGGAGAAGCUCUUGAUCGAAGCCCCGGUAAACGGCGGCCGUAACUAUAACGGUCCUAAGGUAGCGAAAUUCCUUGUCGGGUAAGUUCCGACCUGCACGAAUGGCGUAAUGAUGGCCAGGCUGUCUCCACCCGAGACUCAGUGAAAUUGAACUCGCUGUGAAGAUGCAGUGUACCCGCGGCAAGACGGAAAGACCCCGUGAACCUUUACUAUAGCUUGACACUGAACAUUGAGCCUUGAUGUGUAGGAUAGGUGGGAGGCUUUGAAGCGUGGACGCCAGUCUGCGUGGAGCCAACCUUGAAAUACCACCCUUUAAUGUUUGAUGUUCUAACGUUGGCCCCUUACCGGGGUUGCGGACAGUGUCUGGUGGGUAGUUUGACUGGGGCGGUCUCCUCCCAAAGCGUAACGGAGGAGCACGAAGGUUAGCUAAUCCUGGUCGGACAUCAGGAGGUUAGUGCAAUGGCAUAAGCUAGCUUGACUGCGAGCGUGACGGCGCGAGCAGGUGCGAAAGCAGGUCAUAGUGAUCCGGUGGUUCUGAAUGGAAGGGCCAUCGCUCAACGGAUAAAAGGUACUCCGGGGAUAACAGGCUGAUACCGCCCAAGAGUUCAUAUCGACGGCGGUGUUUGGCACCUCGAUGUCGGCUCAUCACAUCCUGGGGCUGAAGUAGGUCCCAAGGGUAUGGCUGUUCGCCAUUUAAAGUGGUACGCGAGCUGGGUUUAGAACGUCGUGAGACAGUUCGGUCCCUAUCUGCCGUGGGCGCUGGAGAAUUGAGGGGGGCUGCUCCUAGUACGAGAGGACCGGAGUGGACGCAUCACUGGUGUUCGGGUUGUCAUGCCAAUGGCACUGCCCGGUAGCUAAAUGCGGAAGAGAUAAGUGCUGAAAGCAUCUAAGCACGAAACUUGCCCCGAGAUGAGUUCUCCCUGAGACUUUAAGUCUCCUGAAGGA